rnacentral:lncRNA from 1 species
CCCAUGGGCACCCACACAGGAAGGUGCCCACGUUCCAAUUUGUCAUUAGGCAGGGUAUAUGUGGCUGAUCAGUGAAGCCAUGAUGUUCUCAUGCCCAGUACACUGCCAGUGUGACUUCAUUCCCUUGACUGAAGCCUGACUCCAUCCCCCCAUCCACCUCCAUCUGAUUUCUUUUGCCUUGCUCCUCAGGGAGACAAAGGCGCCCUUGGGAUCCCAGGACGAGUGGGACUCAAGGGCCAACCAGGAGAGAAGGGAGCCCCAGGAGAUGCUGGAAUGUCUAUUAUUGGUCCUCGUGGUCCCCCGGGUCAGCCUGGCACAAGAGGCUUUCCUGGAUUUCCGGUGAGUGGGGAUGGUUUCUGUAAAUGCCCUUGCCCAUCCAUUUCAGCUGGGCCUCAUUGCACUGAGUCGUCCCUUACAUGGGCAUUCCCCUCUGAAGCAACAGUGGCUCUUUCGUGGAGUGCUCUACUCCUCAGCCCUUCCGAAAAUGAAGCCAGACUUGGGAUAGCUCAGAGCUGGGACUGCUUCUAGUUGUUAGAGAGAGAGAGAAAAGGGAAAG